GAUGAAUAACGCAGCGAAAUGCGAUAAGUAGUGUGAAUUGCAGAAUUGAGUGAAUCAUCGAAUCUUUGAACGCACAUUGCGCCCCUUGGUAUUCCAUGGGGCAUGCCUGUUCGAGCGUCAUUUGCACCUUCAAGCUAUGCUUGGUGUUGGGUGUCUGUCUUUGCUUUUGUGCCUAGACUCGCCCUAAAUACAUUGGCAGCUAAUAUAUUUGUUUCAAGCGCAGCACAAUUUGCCUUGGAGCUUACUAUUAUUCGCGUCCACUAAGACUAUUUAACACUUUUGACCUCGGAUCAGGUAGGGAUACCCGCUGAACUUAAGCAUAUCAAUAAGCGGAGGA
rnacentral:misc_RNA from 1 species